GCCCCCGUAGCUCAACCGGAUAGAGUAGCUGGCUUCGAACCAGUUGGUUGCGUGUUCGAAUCGCGCCGGGGGCGCCA
rnacentral:tRNA from 1 species